GACGAACGCUGGCGGCGUGCUUAACACAUGCAAGUCGAACGGAAAGGCCCUGCUUUUGUGGGGUGCUCGAGUGGCGAACGGGUGAGUAACACGUGAGUAACCUGCCCUUGACUUUGGGAUAACUUCAGGAAACUGGGGCUAAUACCGGAUAGGAGCUCCUGCUGCAUGGUGGGGGUUGGAAAGUUUCGGCGGUUGGGGAUGGACUCGCGGCUUAUCAGCUUGUUGGUGGGGUAGUGGCUUACCAAGGCUUUGACGGGUAGCCGGCCUGAGAGGGUGACCGGCCACAUUGGGACUGAGAUACGGCCCAGACUCCUACGGGAGGCAACAGUGGGGAAUAUUGCAGAAUGGGCGGAAGCCUGAUGCAGCAACGCCGCGUGCGGGAUGACGGCCUUCGGGUUGUAAACCGCUUUCGCCUGUGACGAAGCGUGAGUGACGGUAAUGGGUAAAGAAGCACCGGCUAACUACGUG
rnacentral:rRNA from 1 species